UUUGUUUAUUCAGCUUCCUAAUGACUCUGGUAGUUAUCUAAUGUAAAAAAAAAGUUUUUGCUUACCUAGAGUAGAUACAUUAUUUACCACUGGACUUCAACCAAUGUGAACUUUGCAGAAUUUUCUCUAUUCUUAUUUUUCCUCUGGGAUUUGGCUUAGUUUCUAGGAAGGAUUUUGGAUAUCUGCUACCAUACCACCAUCUUUUCUGGAAGUCUGUUUAUAAUAAAUUUCAGGUUGGCUAAGUGCUGUGCUCUGCAUCCUCCUCUCUCCAGGACCCACGCAGACAGAGUAGUCACUAUCUGGAACACAGAGGUUUUGGUGACAAAGCAAAAAGAGAAAGCAUGGCAAAUUGCGUACAGGCUCUUAAAGGUUCUGAAAACUUCCAUUCACACUUCAUUGGCCAAAGCUGUGACUUAUCUCAAGUCAGCAAGGAAGUGUAAUUCUCCAGUGUGCCCGGAAGAGGAGUAGAACCGGAAAUACGAAUGAGCGACAGUAACAUCUCCUAGAGGGGGUCUGUGAGCAACCUGGAAUUCUAUGACCUUCACUGCAAUGUUGAAUGGAAGUGGCAAGAAAGGAUAUCCUUGUUGUGUUCCUGAUCUCAGGAGAAAGGCAUUCAGUUUCUUACCAGUAAGUAUGAUGUUAGUUUUUCUGUAGCUAUUCUUUAUAAAGUUAAGUGAGUUCCCUCUAUUUCCAGUUUGCUGAGGGUGUUUUUUCUUUUUUAAUCUUGAUUAGGUGUUGGAUUUUGUCAAAUGCUUUCUCUGCAACAAUUAACAGGAUCAUAUGAUUUUUCUUCUUAAACCUGUUGUGGUGGGUUGUACUGAUUGUUUUUGAUAUACCUUGAAUAAAUCCCACUUAGCUAUUGCUAUGGUUUGAAUGUUUGUCUCCUCUAAAACUCAUGUUGAAAUUUAAUUGCCGGUGUAAUGGUAUUGGGAGGUGGAGUCUUUAAAAUGUUGUUAGGCCACAACAGAUCCACCCGCAUAGGAGUUUUAAUGCGUUAAAUAAAAAGUCUUCAGGAGCUCUCUCUCUCUCUCUCACCCUCUCACCUCUUGGCAUGUAAUAAUGCAGCAAGAAGGCCCUCAUCAAAAGCCAGCAGCUUGGUAUUGAACUUUCCAGUCUCUAGAACUGUAUGCCAAUAAGUGUCUGUUUAUUAUAAAUUAUAGAGUCUUUGGUAUUCUGUUGUAGCAGCACAAAAUAGACUGAAAUGGCUAUGGUAUAUAAUUCUUUUUAUAAAUUGCUGGAUUCAAUUUGCUUUGUUGAAGAUUUUUGCAUCUAAGUUAAUGACAGAUAUUGAUCUGUAGUUUUCUUUUCUUGUAAUGUCUUUAUCUGGUUUUGGAAAUAUGAUAAUGUUGACCUCAUAGCAUAAUUUAGAAAAUGUUAGUGCUCUAUUUUAUUGAAAAUAUUGUAACAAAUUAG
rnacentral:lncRNA from 10 species